rnacentral:rRNA from 1 species
CAAUAGCGUAUAUUUAAGUUGUUGCAGUUAAAAAGCUCGUAGUUGGAUUUCGGUUAAGAGCGACCGGUCCGCCGUUUGGUGUGCACUGGUUGGUUUUAACUUCCUGUAGAGGACGUGCUCUGGGUUUAACGACCUGGACUCGGAGUCUACGUGGUUACUUUGAAAAAAUUAGAGUGUUCAAAGCGGGCUUACGCUUGAAUAUUUCAGCAUGGAAUAACACUAUAGGACUCCUGUCCUAUUUCGUUGGUCUCGGGACGGGAGUAAUGAUUAAGAGGAACAGUUGGGGGCAUUCGUAUUUCAUUGUCAGAGGUGAAAUUCUUGUAUUUAUGAAAGACGAACUUCUGCGAAAGCAUUUGCCAAGGAUGUUUUCAUUAA